UUAUCCCAUGCUAUUGCUAUAUUAUUAGUAGUAAAUGCAUUGUAUCCAUUUUAUUUUCAUGCGAUUCAAUCGGUGUUCAUUUGUUUAAUUUGUUUUUCACUUUUGAAAUGGAUGCCCAAUGGGUGUUUGAAUUGUACGUUGCGUGAAGCACGGGAUAAACACUUUGUGAAAAUGGACAAAUUAUAAGGCGGUUGCUCAGUAAAUUCUGAUUUCUUUUAUUGGCCAUACUGUUUGCUUUUCCGUGUCACGAUAACUUGGUUACCUGUGUUCGUUCACAUCCUUUAUCGCUUCCUCUCUUUUUCCUUUAUCGAAAAGUGCUCAAAACAGAUGUGAGUCUCACGAUUGUUACUCUCAUUUGAUGUGAUCAUUUCAAAAUGGCCGGUUCAUUCGCUCUUGAAAGAACAUAUUUUUGGCAUUCUUGUUGAAUUUAAUUUUUGGAAUGAAAAUUUCGUUGUUAAAUUGUGAAUUAAUCAACUGUGUGUAGAUGAACAUUUCAAAUGUUGAUACCAUGGAUAAAAUUUGUGGGCAAUUUAAACUCAUUUGAAUUGAAUUCAUGGAUGUGCUGUUGUUAAAAUUAUGUUGAAAAUACAGAGUGUCUUGUGAUCAAACGUACAAUGAUAGAAAUAAGGAGUAAAUUUAAAUCAGACACCAAUUUUGGAUGAUUCGGAACGAAUAAAGAGAUACAAAUUCAUCGGACUUUUUUUUUCAUGACAUUUACGAAAGAGACCUUGAAAACGAAAUGUCACUUCAGUACAAUAAUCUCGUAAGCAAUUUUUUGAGUGUUUUCACAACUUUCCCAAGCGCGACCCCACACUUAGCUUCUAAAUGUGACACCGUAGUAAGUGUGGGCAUACGUUUUGCGAAUAAGCGACAAAGAGAGUGGGAACAAGUGCGCGUGUAUUAGUCGCUACAUUGAGAAGCAUCGCAUCAGGCUACUCACUACCACACGCGCACUUGUUUCCAUUCUCUUUGUCGCUUGUUUGCAAAACGUAUGCCCACACUUACUACGGUGUCACAUUUAGAAGCUAAGUGUGGAGUUGCGCUUGGGUUAUUACUCAACUAUUUAGCCGAGUUCAAUAUCAGUUAUAAAUUCCCUCAUAUUCCACUCAUUUGACGUCACAUAAGUCACAUAACAAUAUCACUCAUAGCUCUAAUAUGAAGUGAGGGCAAAGACACAGUUCAGAGUGAUAAUGAAAUGAGCGUGCGAUGUGUUAAUGCAAUAUUUAACUGUGAUAAGAACAUUGAUCCUUUUUUUCUGCCUUCAAAUUGAUAGAGUCAUUUCAGAAUAUAUAAAAUUAACUUUGUUCAAAUAUGAUCACCGUAUGUUUCGGGCUAAUUUGAAUUAAUGACAAUAUGAACUACGACACUAUAAUCAAUUUAAUGCCGAUUUCAGGAUAUUGCUAACUGUCAUUUAUUUAGAUUAUAUUGAAAAAAAGUGUUUUUGUGAUACGAAAUUUGAAUUUGAAAUAAAAAUGCUUAGUCCAGCUUUGUGUACCCAAAGAUAUAUGACUUUGUUCCAAAAAUUCAAAAAAAAAUCAUUCCAAGACCAAUGUGAAUAUUAUUUUGGCUGUCAGUUGAUGAUCAUGGUUCAAUUUUACAUUGGGCUAUUGAACAUAAAAAAUUGAUAAUUGGACCAAGUGAGAAAUGUCAAUAAUUUCUCAAAGGACUUUCAAAUUAAUUUCAAAUCGGAAGGAGAAACAGCUGUACAUUUGGCUGUUGCGAAUGGAAAUUUUCAAAAAUGAAUGAAAAAAAAAACAAUAUUCAAAACGGUUCAGUCUGUGUAGAAAGAGUGUUUUUCAGUCUAUUUCAUUCAUCGUUUCUUUCUCCAGUUCAAACGGAGGUCGUUGAACUUCUCAUUGAGCACGAAGGCGAUGUACGUGAAAAAGAUAACGAUGGAUGGACAUCUCUUCGCUGUCCUGCUGAGUGGGACGGUCAUUGAACUUCCCAUGGAGGGAAGGGUCGAUAUUCAUUCUAAAGACGAUGUGGGAUACACUCCUCUUAAGGUUGCAGAGGUGGCGUAAUUUUGGAUACUUAUGAUUCGAAGGAAUGUGAUGCAAUUCAUGUCAUUAAUCAAUUAUCAUAGAGAUUUGAACGACCUCCUUAUGACCUAAAUAAUAAUUAUCAUUUAGAUCAUAAGGAGGUCGCUUGAUUCUCUUUGAUAAAGGUGCACAGAUGUGAUGUAUCCAGUUGAAUUUCUACAAUUUCCAUUCGGUUGGUCUGCAAAAUACUAAUUAUGAUAUCUCAAUGUUGCCGUUAGAAUGAAUAUCUGCUCCUUUCUCGAUGGAAAUUUGAGGGGGCGAUAUUCAUUCUAAAACCAAUGAUGAGUGUACCACAAGAUGCAGGAUUUUUCGGCUUUCAAGCUCACUGCAUAUGAGCGAAAUGGUACUUCACUGUUUGAAAGGAUGUUUUGGCCAGUGGUGUCGACGAAAUAUUUUAACCAUUUAAUGUGAUCUUUCAGGAAAUCACCACCGGAUUUGCACCAUACUUUCUAUCGAUUCGAACAUUUAUCUUCAAUUUCUUUUUAUCUAUCAAUUUAUUUAGUCCAAUUUACAUGAAAACAUACUUCAAGAUCAGAUCAUAUUCAUCUUUAUAAUUCUUUUGGCAUGUGACGUUCUUGAAUAAACCGCGAUCGAUCC